rnacentral:rRNA from 1 species
GAUCAUGGCUCAGGAUGAACGCUGGCGGCGUGCCUAACACAUGCAAGUCGAGCGAAGCGCUUUAGUGGAAUUCUUCGGAAGGAAAGUGAAGUGACUGAGCGGCGGACGGGUGAGUAACGCGUGGGUAACCUGCCUCAUACAGGGGGAUAACAGUUAGAAAUGACUGCUAAUACCGCAUAAGACCCCAGUACCGCAUGGUACAGAGGUAAAAACUGAGGUGGUAUGAGAUGGACCCGCGU